rnacentral:misc_RNA from 1 species
GAAAGAAAGUUCUUUGUUCUCACAUUUCGUUGGAUGAUUAGUAAGUCCGCCGUCCUGUGGUACGCAAUAGCAAUUUAUUUUUCCACGCUAUAAGCGCCUGAAAGGCGAAGAUUUACACAAUAUUUAGAUAUUUAGGAAAUAGACAUGUCUAACAAAGCUACUGGCACAGUUAAGUGGUUCAACGAAACUAAAGGCUUCGGUUUCAUCCAACAAGAAAACGGUCCUGACGUUUUCGCUCACUUCUCUGCAAUCCAAGGUGACGGCUUCCGUACUCUUGUUGAAGGCCAGAAAGUAGAAUUCGAAAUCACUCAAGGUCAAAAAGGUCCACAAGCUGAGAAAAUCACUCUAGUUUAAGACUUAUAGAUUUUGAUAUAGUAGCCAGCUUUUAGCUGGCUAUUUUU